UGAAAAUUGUUCUUUGAAAUUUGUGAAAUGAGCAAGAAUCUCUCAUUCGUUCCUACAUUCAUGCAUUCACACUACACAUUACCUUAUGUUUGGUCAAUCAAUAAUAUGACAAAAAGCAUAUAUCAAGAAUUUUCUAUAUAAGUGUUUGACCAAGAAUUCAACAUUUCUUUAUAACAAAAACAUGUGGGAAUUAGCAUUUAUGGUAAGUUUGCUGCAAGGUCGUAGAAGGUGGAUUAACCCUCAAUUGAGCCCCCUAAAUUUUCACUUUUUGAUAAUUAGACCUGAAAAUUCAGGUGCGGGUAUUAUAGUGCAUAAGUGACUUGACUAAACUAUGCUGCCUAUGAAAAGGAUAGUUUCUACAUUUUCAUUGUUACGGGCAUCCAAGUGUAUAUUUUUGGUAUCUUUUCUCUCGGCUCAGGACCAGUUUAUCAUAUUUAACAGGUUGAAUUUCGUUCUUCGUCUACAUCCGGUUGCAUAAACUCAAGUUCCUUUUUUCCUGAACUCUCUAUUACAUAUUCUAACAAAUAUUUAUCAUUCGGAAUAGUUGAUCUUGGACUCUUUCCUAAUGCUGCUGAGAAGUUUGGAAUCACCCUUGCAAGCCUACGCCAGCUUCCAAUAUAUAUAAUGUUUUAUGAUGGAGCUGAGCUAACGCGCUUACCCAACUCGGAUUUUGAAACAAAAGUUUUUGAUUCUCCCGUCUCCAAGGUAAUUUCCCAAACAUUUAAUGCAACAGCUUCCCUGCUUCUUUCUUCUGCAAUAUGUAUGUUCU